AUCCUGCCAGAUGUGUUGUAGCAGAAAGGAAAAUGUAGGUAAGUCUAAGAACUAAGAGGGAGGAGCUUAAAGGAAAUGCAAAAGUUUUUCCAGCCAGUUAACACAUUCCUUUAGGAAGACAUUUUGAUCAGAUUGCAGUCUUGUGUUUUUGCUUCAAACGUGCAUAACACGCUAUUGAUUACUUCAAAAAAACACAAUAUGCAGGAUAGCUAUAAUGAACUAAAAUGCCUACCCUACAGAAAAAGAAGCGCCGCGGAACGAGAUUUAGUUCACUGUCACUUCCGCCGAUUCGCGCUGUUUGGCUCGCAUUAAUCUCCGCAGCUCCUCUUGUCCCAAAGUACCCACAGAUCGCCGCGGUUCUCGGCCCGAACUCGAAGUAGCCAUGACUGCAAAACAAAAACCUUUCUCCUUUGCCGAUUUCUCUGCCACGAGACUCAAGAAUUACUCCUGACAAGACCCCUCUACCAACCAGGGGACAAUCCAGAACCAUAUUUUGCAGCAGCCAGCCAGCCAGCCAGCCAGCUAAGCCAUCAGGUGUGGCCCUGAAUAGAGAAGGUUAAAUAUAUCCUUCGUGCAAGGACAGAUUUCACAUCUUCUCACCAUGGCUUCUGAGUACAGCGAUCCAGAAGAAGCUGAGCUUGAUUUCGCACUGCAUCCAUACAAGGCUGGAGAUUUGGUUGUUCUGAAAUGGUUGGAUGAUUCCUCUCAGCAGAGAUGGAAGGGACCUUUCAAAGUGACUUCGAUCAACUACUUGUACCUGAAGAUGGAUGAAGUGGAGGAGUGGGUCCACCACAGCGAAGUGAGAAGAUAUGUUCCACCUCCUGAGGAAGAGGAGAAAAAGGAGUCGGAGUGACCAAGUGUCAGCCUUCUGUACCAAGUUUUGAUCAACCGUUUUUUUCUUUCUCUGAUUAUUAUAUUAAAGGCUAAGGUGAAAAGUAGUUAGUAUGCUCCCAAAAAUACAUGCUUCUUUGUUGCCGCAAUAAUGGGCAAAUGGAUUGGCUGAAAAAAAAGAAAAAGAAUUCAAAUGGACUCUUAGUAGUUCGACAAAACAUGUUUGCCCUAACAAUUGCAGAAUAAUUGGUGUUACUUCACAAUGUUGCUUGUUUUGUUUUGGUAUUGUAUAUUGUCUAACUAAGCUCCUGUGGUUUGUAAAUCAUAGUUUAAGUAUAAUCUGAAUUCAGCCACUUGUUUAUUUAACGAACUAUAGUUAAGCGAAACACAGCUGUGCAGAGUAUAAACCAAUUAGCACUCAAUGUUCUGUGGCACUAUUCUUGCUUCUUGAAUUAUUAAGGUUUUCUCAGUAGGGUGUUGUGAGUUUGUCAUUCUCUCUUCCUUGUUUAUAGGACUACAAUUUCUGCAAAUAAUGGUUUCUUUAUAUGUUCUGGGGUAUUUAAUAUGUUUCAUGCCAUGCACAUUUAAACUAACAGCAGAUCUAUUUUUGCUUUUUAAGUUUGCUCCCAUAUGCAUAUAAUUUCAACUCCAAUACUCUUUAACUCUUAACAUAUUAAUAUUAAUGUAACUUAAUGGUAUGCUAUUUUCAACUUUUUCAAAUGACUUUUUAUUCCUGUAUGAUAAGAUGCUCAUCCUGAAAUUUCACCCAAAAUUUCAGCCAAAACUAUGGUUAUGGCUCUAUGUAUUGUUACAUAAUUGUAAUUUUUAAUGUGAUGGAGAGGGAAAUUGUUCAGUAUGGGAAUGAAUAAUUAUUGUAACUCCAUUAAAUGAAAUAUUAUUAAAUGAAAUAUUAUCAAUUUAGGUUUUGUGCAAUGUUUAAUAUAACAAUUAAAAUAGAUUUAAUUAAUUUUUAUAAUGAAGUAAGUUGAUCUACGUAUAGCCCCUUUUGAAAGUGAAAGACCCUAUGAAAUAUUUAUACUGAGAUGACUGAUACAUUAUCUUGUUUAUGUUAUAAUCACAUAAUGUAUCCUUUGUGUAACAUCCGAAUGUUGAGCCAGAAUAAAUAUAAUUUAACCAA